rnacentral:tmRNA from 1 species
GGGGUCGACUGGUUUUGACAGCAAGUCGAAUUGAGGAGUAAGCACGUCGAGAACUGGGUCAAUUCUCGUUAAUAAAAGGACUCAAAACACACAAACGGCGAAGGAAACUACGCUCUUGCUGCAUAAUCUGAAUCAUAGUAAGAUGUGCCUCGCUCCUAUAAGAUAGGAAAGCAGGAUUUACCUCAGAAGCUCUGGUUUUUAGCGUCUGAUUAAGGUGAAUCGUAAAUUAAAACCUAGAUUUGGUAAAACGUUGGUUCCAUUUUGAAAUUAAAACGAUAAGCUUUUGGUGGUUGUUUCUGUCCUAGCCAAAAGUCGAAAAUCUAAACAGGAAAUAAGCGUGUAGAAAGUUUUUUGGUUGCUUGUUUGGACCCGAGUUCGACUCUCGGCGACUCCACAA